GGGAGCGUCGUCCAGCAAGGUAGGACGGCAGGCUCCAGACCUGUAGGCCGUGGGUUCAAGUCCCACCGCUCCCACCA
rnacentral:tRNA from 1 species